UGCUUUGAAGCUUCGACCGUUGCCAUGGUAAUCAACCUCCAAAUCAGUAUUCAAACGCUUUGUUUUCUAAUUUAAAUUUUAUAUAUAUAUAUACAUAUAUAUAAGUAUUUAAUAAUAAUUUAAUAAUCCCAAAACAGCCCAUGGAAUAAGGAAUAACCCCACAUUAUUAAUUAUUAUUAGUUAUUCUCAGACGGAUAUCGCUGUUUGUUGUGUGUAGAGGUGUGUGUGUGUACAGUAGUGUGGCAGCGGCGCUGGCCCGGACACUGAAACAGGGGAGAUGGAGACAGACAAGACAAACAGAACAUGUCAACAUGCCAUGCCAUGCUAAUACACGAAGCUUUGAAUCCCUAAACAUUCCUACAUGUCAGUCAACUAAACUGUGCGUUGUAGCCUACGUACGUCUACAGCCCCGCGGCCUUAUCCACUAAUUUUGCCGAUCAACACGUGUUGGCUAGUCUUGAGUUCUCCUAGCUACAGUAGGCUUCCAAAUCCCC